rnacentral:rRNA from 1 species
AACCUACAAGACAGAAUGACCCGUGAAUCUGUGAGAAAUAACUCGGGAGACGUGCCCCAGGCGCUUUCUCCCGGAGUCCUUGGCGAAGGGUGCGGUUGAAAUCGACAUCCUUGGCCACGGGCAAAACUCUAACAAAACCCCGGCGCGAGUUGCGCCAAGGAAAAUGAAGAAAGAUGCGCUCCCCUUGUCCCGGAAACGGCGCUGGGGGAGUCACAUCGUCGUUAUCGUAUUUGAAACGACUCUCGGCAACGGAUAUCUCGGCUCUCGCAUCGAUGAAGAACGUAGCGAAAUGCGAUACUUGGUGUGAAUUGCAGAAUCCCGUGAACCAUCGAGUCUUUGAACGCAAGUUGCGCCCGAAGCCGUCAGGCCGAGGGCACGUCUGCCUGGGUGUCACGAAAAGUCGUCCAAUAUCCCUCCCUCCCCCCCCCGGCCCUUUGCAUAAAUAGGAGUGGGGGCGAGAGCAGGGGGGAUGACGGCGGAUACUGGCCUCCCGUGCGCUCGUUUGCGCGGUUGGCCCAAAAGUUAGGCCUCGACCUGCCCCGCAAGGCGGCCACGACGCGCGGUGGUUGAAAGCGCACGCUCUCCUCGAACACCGUCGUGGGCCAGCCUUGUUUGUGGGAAAGCCAAAGACCCCGACGCGGAGCGUCAUAACGGAGCGACCCC